rnacentral:rRNA from 1 species
AAAUUGAAGAGUUUGAUCAUGGCUCAGAUUGAACGCUGGCGGCAGGCCUAACACAUGCAAGUCGAACGGUAACAGAAAGCAGCUUGCUGCUUUGCUGACGAGUGGCGGACGGGUGAGUAAUGUCUGGGAAACUGCCUGAUGGAGGGGGAUAACUACUGGAAACGGUAGCUAAUACCGCAUAACGUUGCAAGACCAAAGAGGGGGACCUU